CAGAAUUCCCACAAGUACUCCAUUUUUUUCCAUCCUUACUCUAAGAAAGUUUUAUGUGGCUCCAAAUGACGGGAGGCUACUGCUCCUGGGAGUGAGGCUGGCUGGCCUAAGGGCUCCAGCCCACACUUCUUCCUGUGAACCAGGAAUAAGUGGUAAUUUGCUUUGCUAAUAAAAAUCACCCAAAUCUCAAUGGUUUAUGACAAUAGAGUUUAUUAUUAUUUUUAAAACUUUUCUUUUUUGGCUGCACUGGGUCUUCCCUGCUGUGCGUGGGCUUUCUCUAGUUGUGGUGAGCGCGGGCUACUCUCCAUGGCGGUGCACAGGCGUCUCAUUGCAGUGGCUUCUCCCAUUGCAGAGCACUAGCUCUGGGCCCUCGGGCUCACUAGUUGUGACCUACGGGCUUAGUUGCCCCAGGGCACGUGGGAUCUUGUACCCGAUGUCCCCAGAAUUUAUGUUUUACUUGCAAUCUGCUCCGGGUCAGGAGUGAUUCUGUUCCAUGUAUCUUCCUCAAUUCAAGCCUGAAGAAGCCUUGCCUUCUUGGGACAUGCUAUUCCUGUGGCAAGACGGAACACAGAAAUGAUGGAACUACACACGCUCUCCAAAUUUUUGUCCAGAAGUGACACUCAUCACUACGGCUCACAUUUCACUGGCCAGGUUAAGUCCAAUGGCAAAGCCUGGGGUCAAUGGGUGGGAGGUCUCUGCUUCUGUUGGAACCAAUAACAUCAUUGACCUUCCCAAUGCAUUUUAAAGUAUCUCAGAGCACACACACACAAAAAUUAAUGGAGCUUUUAAAUUCUUUGUAUAAAGUGAGUAUACCUAUUUUAAAAGCCAAGAAAGACUACACAACAGCACAUAUAGCAAUCUCACUUAUGAAUACUGAUGGAAAAAUCCUAAAUAGACUAUUCAUGAAUAGUAUCAAUAGAACACUAAAAGAAUAAUGCAUCUUGAUCAGAUUGGCUCACUUCCUGAAUCAUGCAAGGUUAGGAAAUUCUGUUAACUCAGCAGAGGAACAGAGCUAAUAAACAUCAUGUGGGCAGUGAACCCAGGAGCCCCAGUAAAGACUCAGGACACCAAUUUUCCAGGUGUUAAAUUUAGAAACUUGGAUCUUAUGGUUCUUUCUUUUCUCAACUUGGUUAAUAUUCAUGGACUUUGCUAUUUGCAAGUUGCUGAGUCAAGCUUUAUUCUUGUAAAACCAAUUUUUGUAGUGAGGCAAAGAUAAAAGAUACUUUCCACAAUAAAGACAAAAGAGUCUGCAAAAUAAAGUAAAAAUAAAAAAAAAUAAAAUGCAAGAUACACAAAUAGAAAAAAAAAGUCUGCAUCAAUCAAGAUUUUUCUAAAAACUGGCUUCAGAAGCUCCAACAUGAAUAGUACCUAUUUUCUGUUUCCUGAUCAUACUCUUCCAUUUUCUCCAAACUGUGAAAGAAGUGCUUUCUUUCCCCCUAUUUACAGUCCACGGCACUCCACACCACAUGCUGGAAUAAAAAUGUUUCCGUUGUAGGAUUGGCAAAAGACUAUCUUAAAUGAAUCCAAAAGAGAAGGGCAGGUUUCUCUGAAGGCAGCCUUCUCCUCUUUUGAUGUACAGGAUAUCACAUGUCUUUCAGCCUAUCAUAGUCGAGUUCUGCAGCCAGGCGACUGAGAGCCACAGA
rnacentral:lncRNA from 1 species